GCAGAUCCAGGGCAUCCGCUACCGCCGCUACGCCGCUCAGCGACCUUGCCGUGGGGCGCCAUGGCCUCCGAAAAUUCGCCCCCUCCGCUUUCCCCCUCCACAUCGAUGCUCCAUGGCGCGGGCGCCGGGAUCCAUCACUCGAUUUUUCAUCUUCGCUCCUCUUCUCCACCGCUCGAGCCCGACGAGAUCCGUGGAGAGCAGCCGGCGGCCGGCGAAGAUCCUUGGUGAUCCGCACGGGUACGGCGAGGUUCUUGGUGUUCCACGCGGCCAGAGAGGUUUGUGGGGAGCCGCAGAUGUCUGACCACGUCCACAUGGAGACGCAGGGCGGCCGCAAGUUUCGCAGAAGAGCCGAAGGACCCGGUGGCCAGCAUCUAUGUGGAGAAGCUGAUGUCUGGUGUUGUCCGUGUGGAGCUGCAUGCUGGAAGCGAGGUUCUCAAGUCAUGGCCUUCGUUCAAGAAGAAGCGCAAGAAGCUCAUUCCCGAGGAGGGUGGAGGCACGAGGAUGAGGGAGGACUGGCAUCUUGGCAAUAAUUGAUUUCUCAAUGUUAUCCUGCAGGUAAUGAGUUAAAUGUCAAAUGUCUCCGGCGGAGGAAAGAGGAGGCGCGGUGCAGCAGCCAUGGCGGCGCAGCUGGCCGGCUCGUCGAUGCUAUGUGCGUUGAUUCGACAGCACACGCGACUCCAUCGAUCCCACCAGUCUGCGUCGUGCGCGUGGAUAGGGAGCGCCGUGCGUACGGUACUGUAGGCAGCCGCGCGGGCGCUGGCGACCAGCAGUUCGAGCUGCUUGUCCCGGAGACGCCGCCGUCCAGGGCCUUGUCGGCGUUGGCUCUAAAUUUGUUAAGUGUUGUGUUUUUUUUACAUGGACCUUUUUGUUGCUACCGCUAUUCUGAAAUAUAAGCUG